CCUACGGGUGGCAGCAGUGGGGAAUUUUUCGCAAUGCUCGUAAGAGUGACGCAGCGACGCCGCGUGAAUGACGAAGGCCUUCGGGUCGUAAAGUUCUUUCGACAGGGAAGAAAAUGCCUAUAAGUAACUGUGUAUGUAUUGACGGUACCUGUUUAAGCAGCCCCGGCUAACUCCGUGCCAGCCGCCGCGGUAAUACGGGGGGGGGGAGCGUUUGUCGGGAUGUAUGGGCGUAAAGAGCCAGGAGGCGGUGUUAUAAGUCAUUGUGUGAAUACUAGAGCUCAACCUUAGUAAGGCUAGUGAUACUAUAAAACUAGAGUAUCAGAGAGGAUUGCAGAAUUCCUGGUGGAGCGGUGAAAUGCGUAGAUAUCAGGAGGAAUAC
rnacentral:rRNA from 1 species